UGGGGAAUAUUGCACAAUGGGCGCAAGCCUGAUGCAGCCAUGCCGCGUGUAUGAAGAAGGCCUUCGGGUUGUAAAGUACUUUCAGCGGGGAGGAAGGGAGUAAAGUUAAUACCUUUGCUCAUUGACGUUACCCGCAGAAGAAGCACCGGCUAACUCCGUGCCAGCAGCCGCGGUACUACGGAGGGUGCAAGCGUUAAUCGGAAUUACUGGGCGUAAAGCGCACGCAGGCGGUUUGUUAAGUCAGAUGUGAAAUCCCCGGGCUCAACCUGGGAACUGCAUCUGAUACUGGCAAGCUUGAGUCUCGUAGAGGGGGGUAGAAUUCCAGGUGUAGCGGUGAAAUGCGUAGAGAUCUGGAGGAAUACCGGUGGCGAAGGCGGCCCCCUGGACGAAGACUGACGCUCAGGUGCGAAAGCGUGGGGAGCAAACA
rnacentral:rRNA from 1 species